GAGAGAAGUUGUGUCCACAGUUAAAGCCCACGAGCAAUUUAAAUCAUAUUCUUUGGCGAAACUGGUGGGCAUCUUGAAAUCUCAGGAGAAGAUCGUGUUGCAGGAGAAGAAUGUAGUUUCAAGCCUAGGUUCGUUGGCCCUCCUGUCCAAAAGCAAAGCGGUGAUGGAUGAAGAAGACCUCAACUUGGAGGACUAUGACCUCACUUCUGAGGACUAUGCUAUGAUGGUGUCAAACCCCAAGAGGUUNCCCCAAGAGGUUCAUCAAAAAGAGAUUCUCCUCUAACAAAAACCGAAACUGGCAGGGGAGUUACAGCUCAGAAAAGGUUAAAGAUGAACCGAAGGUUGAAGAGUCUAAGAAGGAACCGAAGGCUGAGGGUGAUUCUGGAGUAAGCUGCUACUAUUGUGGAGGAAAGAACCACUAUGCGAAGGAUUGUGUCCUCAAAAAGAUGGCUGAAAAGGAUGAGGACAAGGAUGAAGAAGCUUUGCUGCAGAAAAAGCUUGAUGAGAUCAGAAAGAAGAAGUCUACCGCUAACCCUUCUAUGAAUGAUCUAAUUGUGCAAGGUUCGGUUGCUGAUGAUGAGUUUGGUGGCGUGGAGNUACUUCAAGGAUUAUUAAAACUCAAAAGGAGUACAAUGAUAUUCUGAAAGAUGUUAAAGAUAUUGCGCAAGAUGAAAAAGAUAAAUUUCAGUGCAAUAUCAAGGCGUUAAGAUUGAUCAGAUUCGCCCUUCAGUCCGACACUUUCAGGCUGGUGAGUUCAUGCACGACGACAAAAGAGAUAUCGGACAGGCUACGUGAAUUGUACUCUACAGACGUAGACCUUGAACACUCCAUUCAAACCUUACUCUCGUCUGAGUUUGGUGAAUUCAAGCAAGGAGCCGAAGAAACUAUGACCCAAACAUUCGAUCGCUUCAAUCAUCUUCUUAGAAAGAUGAUCAAACAUGACAUCGAAAGGAAGCUUAUUGAGCAGAAGGUUACGUUCUUAAAUGGUCUUAGAUCAGAGUGGAGAGAAGUUGUGUCCACAGUUAAAGCCCACGAGCAAUUUAAAUCAUAUUCUUUGGCGAAACUGGUGGGCAUCUUGAAAUCUCAGGAGAAGAUCGUGUUGCAGGAGAAGAAUGUGGUUUCAAGCCUAGGUUCGUUGGCCCUCCUGUCCAAAANGUAAAGUUGUGAUGGAGGAUGAAGACCUUAACUUGGAGGAGUAUGACCUCACGUCUGAGGAUUAUGCUAUGAUGCUGUCUAACCCCAAGAGGUUCAUCAAAAAGAGAUUCUCCUCUAACAAAAACCGAAACUGGCAGGGGAGUUACAGCUCAGAAAAGGUUAAAGAUGAACCGAAGGUUGAAGAGUCUAAGAAGGAACCGAAGGCAGAAGGUGAUUCUGGAGUAAGCUGCUACUAU
rnacentral:lncRNA from 1 species